GCAAAACAGCUAGCCUAAACAUAAAAACAAAUACCCAACCAUAUAUAUCUAUACACAUACACAACCAAACUAAACCAUUCUCCCACCUCAGUAUGGGCGACAGAAAAGGAAAACCAUUCGAGCUAUAGAAAAAGUACCGCAAGGGAAAGCUGAAAGAGAAAUGAAACAACCCAUAAAAGCAACAAAAAGCAGAGACUAAAACUCGUACCUUUUGCAUCAUGAUUUAGCAAGCAAGCCCCAAGCAAAGAGAACUUAAGUUUGGAACCCCGAAACUAGACGAGCUACUCCGAGGCAGCCUUUAGGGCCAACCCGUCUCUGUGGCAAAAGAGUGGGAAGACCUCCGAGUAGAGGUGACAAGCCUAUCGAGCCUAGUUAUAGCUGGUUGCUUAAGAAAUGAAUGUUAGUUCAGCCUUAUGUAAUUCUCAAAUCAAAACAUCAACAAUAAGAACACCGCAAUACAUAAGAGUUAGUCAAAGGGGGGAUAGCCCCUUUGAAACAGGACACAACCUUCCAAGGAGGACAAGGAUCACAAUCUUUAAGGUACUUCACCCCAGUAGGCCUAGAAGCAGCCACCUGUGCUAGAAAGCGUUAAAGCUCCAGUGAAAAACAACUAAACCUGUAAUAAGGAUAACAUCUCCCAAUCCCCUAAAAAUAUUAAGCCAUUCUAUGCCCACAUAGAAGAGAUAAUGCUAAAAUCAGUAAUAAGAAGGAGUACAAGACCUUCUCCUUGCACAAGUGUAAGUCAGAUCGGACCAACCACUGACAAUCAACGAGCCCAAUAGAGGGAAAUACAACAACCACAAGACAAACAAGAAAAUCAUGUACAAAACAAUCGUUAACCCUACACAGGAGUGCACUCAAAGGAAAGACUAAAAGGAGAAGAAGGAACUCGGCAAACACAAACCCCGCCUGUUUACCAAAAACAUCGCCUCUUGCUAAUCCAAAGAAGUAUUAGAGGUCCUACCUGCCCUGUGACCUGCGUGUUCAACGGCCGCGGUAUCCUGACCGUGCGAAGGUAGCGUAAUCACUUGUCUUUUAAAUAAAGACCCGUAUGAAUGGUUUCACGAGGGUUUGACUGUCUCCUCCUCCCAGUCAAUGAAAUUGAUCUACCCGUGCAGAAGCGGGUAUAACAACAUAAGACGAGAAGACCCUAUGGAGCUUUAGGCAAAAGGUCAAACAUGCAAAACAGACCUGCAAAUCAAAAUAAAAAGUCUCACCCAGCCAAAAUGUAAAUGACCCAAUAUGCCUUCGGUUGGGGCGACCGCGGAGAAAAACAAAACCCCCGCACGGAAUGGGGAAACCCCCUAAACCAAGAGGCACACCUCUAAGUAACAGAACAUCUGACCAAAACGACCCAGGACCCACCUUACACCUGAUCAAUGAACCAAGUUACCCUAGGGAUAACAGCGCAAUCCUUUCCCAGAGUCCAUAUCGACGAAAGGGUUUACGACCUCGAUGUUGGAUCAGGACAUCCUAAUAGUGCAGCCGCCAUUAAGGGUUCGUUUGUUCAACGAUUAACAGUCCUACGUGAUCUGAGUUCAGACCGGAGUAAUCCAGGUCGGUUUCUAUCUAUGAAACCUUACCUCUUCCCAGUACGAAAGGACAGGAAAAGGAGGGCCAAUGCUAAAAGUAAGCCCCACUUCAAACUACUGAAAACAAAUAAAGUAGACAAAGAAGUAAGAUACACCAACCAAAGAUAAUGGUAU
rnacentral:rRNA from 1 species